rnacentral:rRNA from 1 species
GCCUAAUACAUGCAAGUCGAACGCUUCUUUCCUCCCGAGUGCUUGCACUCAAUUGGAAAGAGGAGUGGCGGACGGGUGAGUAACACGUGGGUAACCUACCCAUCAGAGGGGGAUAACACUUGGAAACAGGUGCUAAUACCGCAUAACAGUUUAUGCCGCAUGGCAUAAGAGUGAAAGGCGCUUUCGGGUGUCGCUGAUGGAUGGACCCGCGGUGCAUUAGCUUAGUUGGUGAGGUAACGGCUCACCAAGGCCACGAUGCAUAGCCGACCUGAGAGGGUGAUCGGCCACACUGGGACUGAGACACGGCCCAGACUCCUACGGGAGGCAGCAGUAGGGAAUCUUCGGCAAUGGACGAAAGUCUGACCGAGCAACGCCGCGUGAGUGAAGAAGGUUUUCGGAUCGUAAAACUCUGUUGUUAGAGAAGAACAAGGACGUUAGUAACUGAACGUCCCCUGACGGUAUCUAACCAGAAAGCCACGGCUAACUACGUGCCAGCAGCCGCGGUAAUACGUAGGUGGCUAGCGUUGUCCGGAUUUAUUGGGCGUAAAGCGAGCGCAGGCGGUUUCUUAAGUCUGAUGUGAAAGCCCCCGGCUCAACCGGGGAGGGUCAUUGGAAACUGGGAGACUUGAGUGCAAAAAGAGGAGAGUGGAAUUCCAUGUGUAGCGGUGAAAAUGCGUAGAUAUAUGGAGGAACACCAGUGGCGAAGGCGGCUCUCUGGUCUGUAACUGACGCUGAGGCUCGAAAAGCGUGGGGGAGCAAACAGGAUUAGAUACCCUGGUAGUCCACGCCGUAAACGAUGAGUGCUAAGUGUUGGAGGGUUUCCGCCCUUCAGUGCUGCAGCAAACGCAUUAAGCACUCCGCCUGGGGAGUACGACCGCAAGGUUGAAACUCAAAGGAAUUGACGGGGGCCCGCACAAGCGGUGGAGCAUGUGGUUUAAUUCGAAGCAACGCGAAGAACCUUACCAGGUCUUGACAUCCUUUGACCACUCUAGAGAUAGAGCUUUCCCUUCGGGGACAAAGUGACAGGUGGUGCAUGGUUGUCGUCAGCUCGUGUCGUGAGAUGUUGGGUUAAGUCCCGCAACGAGCGCAACCCUUAUUGUUAGUUGCCAUCAUUUAGUUGGGCACUCUAGCGAGACUGCCGGUGACAAACCGGAGGAAGGUGGGGAUGACGUCAAAUCAUCAUGCCCCUUAUGACCUGGGCUACACACGUGCUACAAUGGGAAGUACAACGAGUCGCUAGACCGCGAGGUCAUGCAAAUCUCUUAAAGCUUCUCUCAGUUCGGAUUGCAGGCUGCAACUCGCCUGCAUGAAGCCGGAAUCGCUAGUAAUCGCGGAUCAGCACGCCGCGGUGAAUACGUUCCCGGGCCUUGUACACACCGCCCGUCACACCACGAGAGUUUGUAACACCCGAAGUCGGUGAGGUAACCUUUUUGGAGCCAGCCGCCUAAGUGGGAUAGAUGAUUGGGGUGAAGUCGUAACAAGUAGCCGUAU